GGCUUGUAUUUCAGUGAUCUACUGUUGGCUUACCAUUUGUUUUUAUAGAGGUAAAGCUGCAUGUGCAUGUUGAAUUUAAAUUUGAGGGCCCCUUAUAUCCAGGAGUACACGAUUGGCCUACAUACUAGACUAUGAUACAUGUGUAUACAAUUUAGACUACAGCACAAACAUACAUACUUAUAUCGCACAAUUCAGAUUGGCCUACUGCCUAUCAAUACCAUAUAAAUAUAUAAUUAGAGUUAGCAUGCCAUUUACUCUUUUUUCAUAUCUGGCAUUUACAUGGUUUCCAUGUACAGCAGCAAGUAACUAGUGUAGUGGGUUUUUUUUAUAAUCAAACAGAGGUGUGUUUCCAAUUAGAGAGAGGAGGGGACAAAUUGCCAAGUUGGUGGUUCUAGUUUCAUCUACGAAUUAGCUAUCUCAGAUUACCGGAGUUUUUUUCUUUCUACAAAAUGAGCUUCAUUACCAAAAAAUGAAUCGAUGAACAAUUCCAUGAAAUCUGUACAUUACCAUGAAAUCUGUACAUCUACAACUCAUAUGGACCAAUUUGUUGAUCAAGAUGAUUGAUCGAUGAACAAUACCAUGAAAUUUGUACAUCUACAACUUAUAUGGACUAAUUUGUUGAUCUGGAUGAUUGACCAAUGGACAAUAUCAUGAAAUAUGUACAUCGACUACAACUUAUAUUGACAGGAUGAUUGAUCUUACCAGGGUCGUGCAACUUGAUUGAAGAUGGGAAGAUGAUGAGAACCGCCUGAUGAAGAAGCCGCUGAGAACCAGCGCCAGCGUCUCCCAGCCAGCGCCUGUGAAUGGAAUUGACGGCCAGCCAGUUUUAUUAGCGAUGGGGCCUGUAUAUAAGCAAUGAAAAAGGCGCGAGGGCGAGCAGCAAAACGCAGAACUGGCGCCAGAAAAGUUGUUGGGAAGCGAGCAGGUGGGAAAAAGUUGUUGCGAUCACGCAUAUAGCAAUCGCGUUUGUGGAAAAACGCCUAUAAGCUCGUUUUUCUAUAAGCCCGAAAUCUUGGGUUGUACAGUUCCAAGUUUCCUAUAAACGUGGAUUUGUUAUAGUGGCCAAACCAGGUUUUGUUUGGUUGAACCGUUUUCCUGGUUUAUAGAGUACGGAUUCUAUAUAUAUCUUCUAUCCAAACAACGCCUUAAGAAAACCAGUGCGGCGCCG
rnacentral:lncRNA from 1 species